CUUAUAUAGGCCUGUCUGUUAUGACAUCACAAAGGCUUUUCAUGAGCUCAGAGCAAAGCAGGGCCAAUCAUGGCUGGGGAUCUUUCACAGAGGUUUUCUCUCUUUUGGUCCCCAAAACAUCUUCCUCUUUUAAAAAGGUUUUUCCUUCCUCAUGUGGUUGAGAUUAUGUAAUGGACAGAGAAUAAACAGACAUACCCUACCCUCCAUGAGCCCAUAGCCUCUUCAAGAAGGCCCCCCCAGACAUGAAGCUCCUUCAGCGUGAGAAGCACCAGGUGAAGUGGGGGCCAAAGAGUGGCCUGGGCCUCAGGUCAGCACUGGUGAGGGAAGAAGUGGGGCUUUCUGGAGGCCAGUGGGCUGAGCCCUGCGGUGUGAGGAGGGGUCGCCUAAGUGAGUAGAGACAAGGGCAGGAGGGUAGCCUCUGCAAAGGCCCAGGAUGACUGAGGGUUGCUCUCUGGAGGGAUGCGCUAGUCUGAACGAGUGACAGGGGCCAGGUUGGGAGCACUCAAGUCCCAGGACAGAGGCUGAGCCUGUAUUCCAGCACUGGGGUUGUGGAAUAGUUCUGAGCCCCUCGCAGGGCCACAGCCCUCACAGCCUGACUCUGCCCCAGGUGGAGGUGCUGCUAUAAAUAGUAGGGGCCCCGUAGGUGCACUGGAGGGUGGAAGGGAAGGGCUCCCCAGGAAUAACCCUGCAUGGAUGACAGCCACCCCACAGAGGGCAUGGCCACCAGGAAAUGUAGGUCCUUCUACAUUUAGGUGGAGGCAGCAGGCAUAGGCUGGAAGGAGAAAGUGGGGCUGGAUUCCCAGGGUUCCUAAAUGCCAGGAUGAGGUGCUUUUAUUGCCUCCUGGGGAGCAAGAUUUGGAAGAGACUGAGGCCCAUGAGGGCAGCACUCAGGAGGUUGGUCUGGAGGGAGAUGGCCCCUGAAGGGGCACACCUGUGCCUGUCCCUGUUGGCUCAGCCCUCACUGGCACUAGGAAUCCCUUGGUCAGCAAUGGGGGGGUGUCAUAGCCUUCUGCCUGGAGCCUGAACACCCUGACAUGUUCUCCCCAGGAUUCUGCACUUAUUUUCCUUUUUUUUUUUUUCCCCCAAGACAGAGUCUCACUCUGUCACCCAGGCCAGAGUACAAUGGCAUGAUCUCAGCUCACUGCAACCUCCGCUGCCUUGGUUCAAGUGAUUCUCCUGCCUCAGCUUCCUGAGAAUCUGGGAUUACAGGCAUGCACCACCACACCCAGCUAAUUUUUUGUAUUUUUAGUGGAGAUGUGUUUUGCCAUGUUGGCCAGGCUGGUCAUGAACCCCUGGGCUCAAGUGAUCCUCCCACCUUGGCUUCCCAAAGUGCUGGGAUUCCAGGUGAGAGCCACCACACUUGGCCUGCUCCUGCUCUUCCAUAUGUGCAUUGGAGUUGCCUCUCCCUGAGGGCAGCUGCUGCACCCUGAACGCCUGGCACAACUGUGGACCCGAGGAGGUGCUCAAACACGCGACUCCCUGGGGACCUCGGAUCUGGGUGGCUCCCUUGUGUGACACGAGGCAGGAAGCAGAGCUCUGUGGGUCAUGUGCCGCCCUAGGGCAUGAAGGCUGUCCUUGUUCUCUUGCGAGCCAGGCUUGGCCACUCUUCCAGGGGACCCACCCACACUGCCUAGCCUGGCCGAGAGUGGCCUUCCUGUCCCUGCCUGGAGUGGUGUCUGCCACAUGCUCUGAAGCUGGCCCUUUGCUGUGAGGUCUUGAAGGGCAGGGUGUGUGUGAGAGUCACCCACCACUGGGGCCUGGUAGGGUGGGGAGGCACCUAAGUGGGACUGCUGCCAAUGCAUCCUGGGUCUGGAGUGCAGGAGUCGGUAACUGACUCCACCUUGGGGGCCUGAUGGGAGGCCUCAAAUAGGCCUUGGCCAUUCCACGGGGCUCAGGAGCACCAGGGGCUUAUCAGGCUUGUGGCUGGGAGCAAGGCCAGGCCCUGGGGCUUCUGGGCCUGUUCUUUUUGAAGGGCGGCCUGGAGGAUGACCUGGUAUUGGUCCGUGGGUGUCCUGUGGCCUCCUGCAUCUCAUGGCCUUGCCCUUGCCCUUCAGCAUGACCCUCCAGUGCCUUCAUCGGUCUCCACAGAGCUCAUCCUGGUAGAGGAUGUGAGGGUGAGCCUGGAAGAGGUGACCAUCUAGGACCGUCUUGGCUUCCAGAUACAGCCCAUGCCCUGCCAGCUGCCUGGGUAAGACCCACCAGGGGACCCCCUCACUCUCCAAGACACAGCCCAACUCUCCCUGAAUCUGCCUCCUGCCAGUGGAGCUCCACUUCAGGAAAGACUCAGGUGACUUCGUCCUCAAUACCAGUGCUGUGGACGACAUCAAGAUGGCCUACCAGGAAACCAGGGCCAUCACCAUGGGUGUCACUCUGUAACCCAGGCUGGAGUGCAGUGCUGCCAUCUCAGCUCACUGCAACCUCUGCCUCCCAGGCUGAAGUCAUCCUCCCACCUUGGCCUCUUGAGUAGCUGGGAUUACAGAUGGGUGCCACCACAGCCAGCUAAUUUCUGUAUUUUACCUAGCUAUGGUGGCAACAUGACGGGGUUUUGCCAUGUUGCCAGGAUAGUCUAAACCUCCUGAGCUCAGCAAUCCACCAGCCUCGACCUCCCAAAGUUCUGGGAUUACAGGUCUGAGCCACUACUGUGCCCGGCUGGAUCAGGCACUUUCUAGACCUUACUAAAAUCUGUGUCUUGGAUUUUGCUUUCCUCUACUGCUAGGUGAGGUCCAUACAGCUACCCAUGAUUGACUCUGAAAGUUGUUGAUACAUGGCAGUGCAUUGAGAAAGUUCACACCUCACAGUGAAUUUAUGAAGUGUGAGCAUAAAUUAAAUAACUGGUUUCACUGGCCCUCCAUUUAUCUUUCUUUCUAAAAUUCUUAAUAAAGUAUGGUUAUUCUGUAUGCCAAUGCAUACAGAUUUUAACAUUUGGAUAUAUGUUGCUUUGAAAACUAGGAUAUGUUUUCUAAGACUCUUUCAUUGAAUUUAACUCCUAACAUUCAGCGUAAAUAUGAGUUAUGAAUCCCAGUAUGUACCUGAGCCUUGCUCUCCCUCCCUGAGCCCCGCACGCUGCCCUGGGCCCUUUCUUGGCAAGUGGACAGAUAAAUGGGAGCCGCUGGGGGUGGGAGUGCUGGACUGGGAAUCAGAUUUGAAGUAUAGUCUAAAUGCCCCACGGGCCCACCGCUUCUCAAUAGCUCAAAGCUGCCCCAGCUGGUUUCCACAACAACCUCAAAUCAGAUAAUGAUCCUUAGUUGGCCAGAACCUAUUAGUAAAGGUCAAAGGGGGUGGGGGGUGAGGCCAAAAGUAAUGGUGAUGUCAUAGUCACAGGCUGAAGAGUAAGCCAGAAUUUUCCACUUCAGGUGAUGGUAUUGGUGGUGCCACUUCCAGAGGGGGCACAGCUGCUUGGCAGAGGGACGGACUCACAGGGGCUCUUAGGGAGCUCAAGUGGGGCCCACAGAUACCUUCUCCCUGGGGUUGCAAACUGGCAUUGGGUGGAGGGAGAGUCAGUAUUCACACCUGGGGGAGCCUCGCCCCCAAAGUGGAUUUUAAGGCCAGCAGCACACUGGGGAGACAAGGGCCCCACAACACUACCAUCCUUUCCCCAGCCUGCUUCGUGCUUCCUGGUCCUGCUCUUUAUUGGGGAUGGAGAAUCUUAUCUGAAUGGUGGAACUCCAGUACCAUCCCUGGCCAGCAUCAGUAGUGGGCAGGGUCACUGCAUGUUCAAGGCUGUGCACACUGAGCCCCAGCCAUGCACGAGGGCGGUGCCUCCUGGACCUUCCUCAGGCUCCCUAGGGACCCAUGAGGAAGCUCCCUGAUGGGUGCUGAUGGUUGUCUGUACCAACAGAUUCACUGCCUGGCACAGAAACACCGGGUUCCUGGGAAGCUGGAACCUGCCUUAUGAAAGUCCCCAUUCCCAUCACCCCCUCCAUCCCUUGGGGCUGCUGGGUCUUGCCAUCAACCCUCUCCUCACACCCAGGACACCUGCCUAUUUCAAAGCACCCCUUCAACCUGGGCCUGGCUGAAGGCUCAUUCCUCUGUCAUGCCUCUGAGGGGUACUGCUUUGUGCUGCUGUUAUCAAAAAGGGGAAACCAUUCACAGCAGAAAGACCAAUGCCACACUAGACAGCCAGGAACCCAGCAGCACAAGUGGCCCCCCCAGGUGCUUUGGGGACCACACCCCCACCACUGUGACUUCAGCACAGUCUGGUACCCAGGACUUCAGGAUCCUCCUGGGAACCCUUCAGCAUGAUUAACAUGGGCAGAUGGGACCUGAAGGGGCUGUUGGUCCUCCUGAAAAUGCUCACCAGGCAGUGUGAGUGUGGGGAGGCCAUGUGCAAUGUGUGGGACCCUGUCCUGCACCCGCUCAGAGCCUCAGCCCUGCAGAGACACUGGAAAUGAUUUGCUGCAGUAGAGAUGGUGUUUCACCAUGAGGCUGGUCUCGAACUCCUCACCUCGUCAUCCGCCCACAUUGGCCUCCCAAAAUGUUGUGAUUACAGGCAUGAGCCACUAAGCCCGGACACCACUUCCUUUUUCUAUCUAAUAAAAUAUUGGUGGGGAAAAGACCCUCUGGCAUUUGCUGUCUCAUUUGUUCCUUUGUUGUAGUGAUAGGGAAAGCCAUAAAAUAAUAUUUCAAGAAAAAGAUAAGAUAUAGAUGACUUUUUAGAUCUCCUUCUGGCCUCAUGGAUUUACAUGUGUUUUUACAGAAUAGAGGUAAAAUAAUGAUUAUUAGGCUAAAUGGUAAUGUGGAAGUACAGGGAUAAUUCAAAGUUUAAGAAUUCCUUCCCAGCCGGGCAUGGAGGCUCAUGUCUGUAAUCCCAGCACUUUGAGAGGCCAAGGUGGGUGGAUCACGAGGUCAAUAGAUUGAGACCAUCCUGGCCAACAUGGUGAAACCCUGUCCCUACUAAAAAUACAAAAAUUAGCUGGGUGUGGUGGCACACACCUGUAGUCCUAGCUACUCAAGAGGCUGAGGCAGGAAAAUUGCUUGAACCUGGGAGGUGGAGGUUGCAGUGAGCCGAGAUCAGGCCACUGCACUCCAGCCUGGUGACAGAGUGGGACUCCAUCUCAAAAAAAAAAAAGAAUUCCUUCCCCAUGUUUAACUGGUGUGCUUUGCAAGGUCUAGAUGACAUCAAUGAUACAAUUCUUGCAAGCAACAGCAGCAGGGUUCUUGAAGGUCCGUUGUCACCUAAAAAUUGUUUUCUUCCUUUUAUGUUGUUAAAGAGACUAAAGAUUUCCCUGAAUGGAUAAUGGAAUUAAGUUUCUCAAAAUAAUGGUUCAUGGACUGCCUGUCUGUACCAGCAUCAUUUGAGGUGCUUGUU